AAGACCAUAGUCUAUAUAUACUAUGAUAUAUGAGUUGCAUUCAUAAGAAGUUUUUAAACUGGUUUUA
rnacentral:tRNA from 1 species